rnacentral:rRNA from 1 species
UGCCAGCCGCCGCGGUAAUACGGAGGGUGCAAGCGUUAAUCGGAAUUACUGGGCGUAAAGCGCGCGUAGGUGGUUUGAUAAGCGAGAUGUGAAAGCCCCGGGCUUAACCUGGGAACGGCAUUUCGAACUGUCAGGCUAGAGUAUGGUAGAGGGUAGUGGAAUUUCCUGUGUAGCGGUGAAAUGCGUAGAUAUAGGAAGGAACACCAGUGGCGAAGGCGGCUACCUGGACCAAUACUGACACUGAGGUGCGAAAGCGUGGGGAGCAAACAGGAUUAGAUA